rnacentral:rRNA from 1 species
GAUCCUGGCUCAGGAUGAACGCUGGCGGCGUGCUUAACACAUGCAAGUCGAACGAAGCAAUUGGAGUGCUUGCACUUUGAUUGACUGAGUGGCGGACGGGUGAGUAACGCGUGGGUAACCUGCCUCACACAGGGGGAUAACAGUUGGAAACAGCUGCUAAUACCGCAUAAGCGCACAGUACCGCAUGGUACAGUGUGAAAAACUCCGGUGGUGUGAGAUGGACCCGCGUCUGAUUAGCUAGUUGGUGAGGUAACGGCCCACCGAGGCGACGAUCAGUAGCCGGCCUGAGAGGGUGGACGGCCACAUUGGGACUGAGACACGGCCCAAACUCCUACGGGAGGCAGCAGUGGGGAAUAUUGCACAAUGGGGGAAACCCUGAUGCAGCGACGCCGCGUGAACGAUGAAGUAUUUCGGUAUGUAAAGUUCUAUCAGCAGGGAAGAUAAUGACGGUACCUGACUAAGAAGCACCGGCUAAAUACGUG